GAAAUGCGAUAAGUAAUGUGAAUUGCAGAAUUCAGUGAAUCAUCGAAUCUUUGAACGCACAUUGCGCUCGCCAGUAUUCUGGCGAGCAUGCCUGUUCGAGCGUCAUUUCAACCAUCAAGCUCUGCUUGCGUUGGGGAUCCGCGGCUGCCCGCGGUCCCUCAAAAACAGUGGCGGGCUCGCUAGUCACACCGAGCGUAGUACUCUACAUCGCUAUGGUCGUGCGGCGGGUUCUUGCCGUAAAACCCCCAAUUUCUAAGGUUGACCUCGGAUCAGGUAGGAAUACCCGCUGAACUUAAGC
rnacentral:misc_RNA from 1 species